rnacentral:rRNA from 1 species
UAACGUAGGGUCCGAGCGUUGUCCGGAAUUACUGGGCGUAAAGAGCUCGUAGGUGGUUUGUCGCGUUGUUCGUGAAAACUCACAACUCAAUUGUGGGCGUGCGGGCGAUACGGGCAGACUUGAGUACUGCAGGGGAGACUGGAAUUCCUGGUGUAGCGGUGGAAUGCGCAGAUAUCAGGAGGAACACCGGUGGCGAAGGCGGGUCUCUGGGCAGUAACUGACGCUGAGGAGCGAAAGCGUGGGGGAGCGAACAGG